rnacentral:sRNA from 1 species
GCUGGGCGUGGUAGCCCAUGCCUGUAAUUCCAGGUACUUGGGGGGCUGAGGCAGGAGGAUUGUAAGCUCAAGGUCAGCCUUGGCAACUUAACAAGAUCCUGUAUCAA